rnacentral:lncRNA from 1 species
AGAGAGAGAGAGAGAGUCGACCGUGAGGAGAGAGAGAGAGAGAGAGAGAGAGAGAAUCGGCAUCUUGCAUUUUCCUUAUUAGAUUAUGAUUUGUACUAUUUCCAUAUUUGUAUUUCCUUUCUUUAGUCUUUCCAUUAUUCUAUGACGGUGUAAUUCCUUAUAUAUAAAUGGCUCCUUAUGUUUAUGAAUAAUACAGAAACAUAGAUUAUAUUCUCUAGUUUCACAACACGUUAUCAGCACGAUAGAAUAUAAAUCCCUAAGCUAAAACAAACCGCCUAAAACCGUAACCCUAAUC